CUCUGCAGAGAGAAAGAGCAGUCUCAUUGUAAGCAAUCACCCUCCACCUGCACCUGACUUCAUGGUGGCCGAAUGGUCAGUGCAGCUUGAGUGUCUUUCACGGGAGCCAGCUGCACUUGGGGUUUGUGUGUUCUUGGAACACAGUAGACUUCUGAGCCUCUGGAGCUGCCUCCAAGAAUGAAUCUCUUUAGUCUACAAAAUGUAUUUAUUUGGUAACUAUGCUAUUGUGUGUGUAUGAGUCUGAUACAAUGCAAACCUUGAAAUGUCUUACUAAAAGGAAUUAUGAAUUCAUAGAAAAUUGAAUCCAACUUCAGAACAGCGCAUUAUGUUGCCGGUCAAUAAGGUUGCCCAGCCACGGGGGACCAGAGAAAAGCCUUCCCCUCCCACCCCUUUCCUUAGUACCCUCUCCCUCCCUAAUUGCCCUACUAGGUUCUAACUGAUGCAGAGUGAAGGGUACCGAGAAAGUACAUGUACAUAAAGAUUUAAGAGGGACAUAACCCCUGGGGGAAUCAGUUGAGUUUCUUCCCAUGGCUGUGAUCUUAUCAUGCCUGAAUUCCAAACUUUAAAUUUCUAACAAUUUCGAUUCUUGAAGUUUCUGAGUAAUUUGUUAAAUGCCUAUUCAACACAGACAGAUAUUUAUUUUCAGCGUUGGCUUGUAAAUGCCUACAAACUGAUUCAUGUUGGUGGUCAUUACGACACUUCUGUGAAUUGGUUGAAUAAAUAUGAUUUUAGAAUUUCACAG
rnacentral:lncRNA from 1 species